rnacentral:rRNA from 1 species
AACGAACGCUGGCGGCAGGCCUAACACAUGCAAGUCGAACGGGUGUCUUCGGACACUAGUGGCGGACGGGUGAGUAACGCGUGGGAACGUGCCCUUUGGUUCGGAAGAGCCCUGGGAAACUGGGAGUAAUACCGGAUACGGUCGAGAGACGAAAGAUUUAUCGCCGAAGGAUCGGCCCGCGUUGGAUUAGGUAGUUGGUGGGGUAAUGGCCUACCAAGCCGACGAUCUAUAGCUGGUUGGAGAGGAUGCUCAGCCACACUGGGACUGAGACACGGCCCCGACUCCUCCGGGAGGCAGCAGUUGGGAGUCUUAGACAAUGGGGGAAACCCUGAUCUAGCCAUGCCGCGUGGGCGAUGAAGGCCUUAGGGUUGUAAAGCUCUUUCAGUGGGGAAGAUAAUGACGGUACCCACAGAAGAAGCCCCGGCUAACUCCGUGCCAGCAGCCGCCGUAAGAC